AUGAAAGUUGAUACUACAGAACAUGUGACCGUCCUACAUAAUGCCAUUGGUAAAACCAGAUUGUUCUAUAUAGGAAUGAAGGUUGAUUUAGUAUCCAGAUUCCCCAUAAGUAAUGUCAUAAGGAAAAACUUCCUAGUUGACAUUGCACAAAUGAUGCCUCCACAAUGGUUUGACAAUUUUCAUUAA
rnacentral:rRNA from 1 species